GGGGGCGAGGAGCCUGGUGGCUCAGGCUGACUGUAAAUCAGCUGCCUUCGCGCAGGUGGGUUCGAUCCCCACCGCCCCCA
rnacentral:tRNA from 1 species